UGUGUGUGUGUGUGUGUGGCGAUAACAGAGGGAGGUCUCUCUCCAUUCUGCCUCCGUCACAAUGAUGGAUGCGCUGCUUUCUUCUUCCCGGUGAAAUAUUCAACGCCGUCCGCUCGCCGACGCGUCGGUUUACUCCUCACCUCUUAUCGGCGCGCACGACUUUUUUACGGCCGCCCAGGAAGAAGAGACAAAACGGCAACUGGGGCGACGAAGCCAACGGACGAGAGCGGCCAUCUUUCUUGACGGACGGCGACCCGCUCGACGCUUCUGUUUGACGGCGUCACGACCGCGGCGUGUUCUUCCUUCGGCCGACCGCAUUUUCUUGACGCCGUCUGGUGUUAUGAUAUCACAACGGCGGCCAAUCUCGGUGGUUGGCUCGCUCUCGGCCUUGUUGUGCCCGCCGAGCUUCGAGUGUCGCUCAACCGAGGAAGAGGAAGUAAGAGAUGGGCGAAAACGAUCCCGUCGGUACUGCGGCACAUGCCGACACGAUCUGACGAAUGAAAAUCAAUUCAUUUGAGUAUUCGGAUGAUUGGCGGUCGCUCGCCGUCCGAAGCUUUGAAUUGUUUCAAAGAACAAGAAAUAUUUUUCAAACUUGAAUGGCGACAAAAAAAAAGUCAAGUUUCCCGUUUUCUGAAGAUGCAAAUGAAGUUUUGCGAGCACAAAAGCGUCUUUUUGUUCUUCUCGGAGGCGACUUUCGCGGGAACGCCACUGGAGAGAGCCUCGUGGUGUCGUUGCCAUGCGCCAGAGGGAUCCGUCGUCUUGCCCGAGGGCACUUCGACCACGCGGACAGUCGGAGCCCGGAUUCGAACCCCGCCGACCCUUCGGACGCCGGACGACCCGCUCUCCCGACUGAGCCUCGUUCUUCUUCUGGUUUCGUCGUCUGUAUUUUAAUGUCUCAUCAAUUUGGCGAUGAGUUCAAGUUUGAGCGGAUAUCGCUGAGCUGAAGUGUGAAGUUCAAGUAGCGCACCUGCAUCUGUCCUUUUCGUAGCGACGGAUGAACUUCGACGUCGCCGUUGUUGCGUCUCUUCUCUUUUCUUCCGAUUCGGUCGACGGCACGACCGUCGAAUCCGAAUGUCACGACCUCGCGUUCUCCGAGCACGACGCUCGCUUUCACGAGGGGGAUGGAGGAAAACUCCGGUCGGCCGAGCGUGCGCGCUCCUGGACGAACGUUGCAGAUUGCGUAUCACUUGUCAAUCGGAGUCACAUGAAUGGGACGUGACUUCAUAUCCGAUUCCGGCUUUUCCAUGAGAAGAGUGAAGGGAAUAGAACUCGAAUAGGACGGCGUGUUAAAGUUGCAUUUUGGGUUGACAGGAAGACAUCAUUUGGGGACAUCUCAUUGGCUUUCUGAAGCGUUUCUGCGUUUCGGGGAAAUAACGCGCGAGCCCAUUUGUCUUCCCUUCAGAAGCUCAUUGCUCAUUUCCUCACUCAUCAUCUGUGAAUUUCUUCAUUUUUUUUUUUUUUUUCAUUUCGCUCCUUCCCCGCGUCCCAUCCAUCUGCCUCAACAUCUUCGCCUGCAGCUGCGCUUUUUGCUCGCCGUCUUCUCAGCCGCCUCUCCCCCAAGACAAGAGGAAAUGCGCAGAGGGACAUUGUAAUCGGUUAUGAGGCCCACUCGCCCUGUGAUCGGACGCCUUCAAAUUAUAGAAGCGCACACGAUGGGUUUGUUCAGUAAGCAGCGGGAUUACAAAUACUUUUUUCACGGCGCCGUAGCUAGCAUAAUACAUUUGACAAGACAAGGCAUUUGGGUAAAUAAAGAAAUGACAUUUGACCUUAGUUUUAUAGGCCAGACCCGGUCUCGAUCUCGAGUAGAUGGGUUUUGGAAUCGCGCUUACAUCAUACGCUUUAAUUAGCCUUGCUCGGCGAUCGCAGCGGAAAUUUGGAACGGUGUCGUUCGAUGGAUCCAUACUUGUCACAUCUCGCCUCGUCCUCUUACGUAGCCUGAAAGCGACGCAAGCGGCUGACGUGUGCCAAAACCUUUCUGUGCCACGCGCACACGCACGCACGCACACACAUGCACGUGAGCGCCCACACACACACACACACACGCGCACGCGCAAGCACUCACCGGAGACAUAAUUGAGCAAUUAUCCUCUCCAGGCCGCUCUGAUGGUAAUUUGCAUUUAUUAUUCUGAGCACGAGGACGAAUUGUCAUAUACUUCGUCGUGCUGAUUGCGUGCAGCAUUUGUGCGCCACGCCACAUACGCAUACGAUGUAUGGCAAACGCUUUCCCUAUCAACGAUGCGACGUUGCGGACAAUAUGUCGAGCGCUUCUUUGUCCUGUUUCCCAAACGACUUGGGGAGGCGGCGCCGCCGGCAACGCGUCAAGCGCCCUUUGCUUCUGUGUUCAAGAUGGCCUCUGGGCUCGUCCUACGGAAAGGCGCACGCGCAACGCCGGCGCACUAAUACACUCGCAGGUUUGAAUUUGCGGAGGCUCACUGAAGUGUGAAAUGAUUCUGUUACCGCGUCGUCUGGGUGGAAUAUAUUUGGUAUUUGCUCAUCAAAUUUGUACGGCAGGUGCGUCUGUGUGGCUCUGAUGGAUUUGUGCCUCAUUGUGUGUAUUUUUGUGUUUGUGUGCAGGUUUUAAGCAGCUGCUGUUCGGCCCCAUUAAAACCAGAUGACGCUAUCGGAGCAUCGUUUUAGUAUUUGCCUCAUUUGCAUUUUAAUGGCAGAAGAGUUUUUGCCGUGCAACAGUCGAGUUUGAUGCUCGCGCUGUUGUCGUUCGUGUGUCGAUGGAUGGGACAUUAGCGAGCGUCUGACCUGCUAAUACAGCAACGCCGCCGCACGGAGGGCCCCCCCCUCACACACACACACACACACACACACAGCAAUUAGGAGGCGAAAUGAAGUCCGUCCCGUCCGUGGACAUGUGACUGAACCAAGUAGUAUAUAUCUGCAAGGUCAUCAAAUACAUAGUUUUCAUAACUGCAAUAAGAAAAUCGGGAUACAACAAUGCAAAUCGUUCCAAUUCGCUCGUUUUGAACUUUCACGUAAACGUGCAAAAACAAAAAAAAAACUGAAAAAAAAAGAGUAUUCAAAUACAAUAUAAAUAAUAAUAAUAAUAAUAAUAAACGGUUGAUUUGAAAGAGUUGUGGAUGAUAAUAAUAAUAAUGAUGAUCCCAAUAAUCACGAUUUCCUCAUUUCUAGGCCGGACAUCGGAGUGCAAAAUCUCCCCCGUGACGAUGUGCUGCCAAAUCCUCUCAAAUUCAAGCAAUUCAAAAGCUUCCUCAAUGUUUUCCUAGUUGCGAUAUUUUCUUCAACACAGGGGGCAGCCUUUAGUCGGGAAAGCCAAUGUUGUUGUGUUGUUAUGGCAACCUGUGCGCGUCACGACUUUGUUACGCGCUCGUGCUUUGCUUGACCCACGCCAGCAAAUUCCGCUCAUGCUUCAAUUGAUUUUGUUCGCGUAGCGUAGAAGUCCAAUGAGUUCCAUGUCAACCGGGAAAAGGUAAGCAAACUCUUGUUUUGUCUCACAAUGACGGAGAUGCAAAUUCAUAAACCGGAAUGACGUUCAUUUCCGGGUUGGAAACAAGCUUAUUUCAAAUAUUUCCUCGUUUACGCGUGAAAGUGUAACGUGAGACAGCUUUGCAAAACAAAUGUCAAAUCGGUUGAUCAUCCGUUGUUUGACUUUCUAGCAGUCGCAAUUAGCUAAAACAAAACUCGAUUCGCGCUUAUGCUGCGUGUCAGAAUGUCGCUUGUGAAUUAUGACCAACUUUCGCUGCGUAUUAUUUUCACAGUGGUUCAAAUUGACGACGACUAUACAGUUGUGCCAAACAUUUUGUAAUAUCCGGGCAAUCAUGAAACAAUACAAACAAUUGAAAAUCAAUUGAGCGCCGAGGAAAGCGACUCGGCCGCAUUUUGCCUCCGCUUUCAGGGUCGAAGGGCGCGCACUUCGGGCAGCGGAGGAGCCGCGCAAGCUAAACGUCACGUCUGCGCACGCCGCACGCCCGCCAGCAGAAGCGACACCUGGGGAGGAAAAUGAGGCGGAUGCAGAUGAAGACCUGGACGUUCCGGUGCAAGUGAAAAUGGAGUUCUCAUCUAUGAACCGCAACAUCCGGAAGCUUCGGAGUUCCUCCCUCUGAUCCGGAAGAAGCUGCUGCAAGGUAAAGACCGAACGUCAAGUCGAAAGUGGCGGUUCGCAAGGCGGAGGCUGUUCUUCCUCGCAGAGC